rnacentral:tRNA from 1 species
GGGUCUGUAGCCUAGUUGGUAAAGGAAGCACUUUUGUAUGUGACUCAGCAUUUCUGAGGUUGUGAGUUCAAAUCUCACCAGGCACA